UACAGAGGUCUCAAGCGUUGUUCGGAUUCAUUGGGCGUAAAGGGUGCGUAGGUGGCGGGGUAAGUCAGGUGUGAAAUCUCGGAGCUCAACUCCGAAACUGCACUUGAUACUGCCUUGCUUGAGUACUGGAGAGGAGAUUGGAAUUUACGGUGUAGCAGUGAAAUGCGUAGAUAUGCGGAGGAACACCGAUGGCGAAGGCAAUCCCCUGGGCCUGCACUGACGCUCAUGCACGAAAGCGUGGGGAGCGAACAGG
rnacentral:rRNA from 1 species